AUUUAUGUCUAGACCACCCUGAAUGGGCCUGAUCUUGUCUAAUCUCAGAAGCUAAGCAGGUUUGGGCCUGGUUUGUACUUGUAUGGGAGGAGAAAUUAUCCUGUAGAAAGUAAGAAGACAUUAAAA
rnacentral:rRNA from 1 species